UAUGAGAUUGGUAAUAUUUGAGUUAGUGAACCUGCGGAAGGAUCAUUC
rnacentral:rRNA from 1 species